CUUCCCGCUCCCGUUUUCCUUCUCCAGCGGGCGGAGCGAGCUGCCCGGUGAUCCCCGGAGAUCCCCGGAGGCGCCGUCCCGCCUCGGUCGUUCCGUGACCCGGCGAGAGCUAAUAGCAAGCUGAGGGUGACUCGCGUGUACGACCAGCCGUUGCGGGGGUCUGUUAGCCCGGCUGGAGCACGAGCACGUUACAGCAGCUCUAGGGAAAUGGAAGUGGUGGUGUACUCGAGCAAGCCGUGGUGUUGUUCCAAGUAACAAAAUGAAAAAGAAAUAAAAAGGAACCGCGUUUCCCUGGCAUUACAUCUGUCAUGAAAAUUACAAGAGGAGUAAGAAAUCGGCACCUGCAUCUGGUGGGGACUGGCAGAAGGCACAGAAGGGAUAAGGACCUUGUCUGAACUGUGGCUGCUGAGGCACCAGAGCCGCUUCCCCGGCCCUUCGGGAUUCGAACGACCAGCGCUGCAGGCUUUGCCUUCCAAACGUUAGUAAUUCUCUCUGCCUGCUUCUCUGAGAAGAUCUGGGAAAUAAAAUGCCUUUCAGUUGGUCC